GCUGGUCCCUCCAUUCUCCAACCUCUCUCUUUGCGAUUCAAUCUAUAUCACAUGCUAUCCACCGUUUCAUAUCUACUUUAGCCUAUUGGCUAUCGCUUCUGAAUUCAGAUGCGGCGCUCUAUUAUCAUAUUGUCUAUCAUAAUGUCUUAAAAUUAUAUGAGCGUACACUGCGGAUUGUAAAAUGGUCUGAGUCUCUUCUACCAAUGAAAAGGCUGGAUAUGCUAGAAUUAGCAAUAUGGCAGUAUUAUGCAGCGACUCAAUUGUAACGUCCCAUGUCUUUUGGAAACGGAUUAGUGAAUAAUCAUAUAGUUCCCUCACCACGGUUACAGUGAAUUCUGUGAUACUUGACGGCAUAUCUACCCGUAGGCGUUAGAACGGGAGAAGUACGGGAAUCCUAAAUAAAUUAUUAGAAUAUUCGAAAUCAUGGCUU
rnacentral:sRNA from 2 species